rnacentral:pre_miRNA from 1 species
GAGCAAGUUCCGUGCUUCUCUACUUCCCAUAGUGGUAUUGGCAUAUGGAAUGUAAAGAAGUAUGGAGCGAGCAA